UUAGGCACGCGCAGCUGUCGUGAACGUUAGCGGGGAGGGUGAGAGCGGACAGACAAGAAGAGGAGGUAACGUCACAAUCUCGCUUUCUCACAAUUUAUCUGUAUGUCAGGUUGGAGAUGCAGCCUUCUUCCUGACACACACACGGAGAAAGCAGAGAGCAGGGAAUAACGGACCCGGCCUGAUACGGUUAGGGGUGGAUGCUGGAGGUGCGUGCCAGUGCGCAGGCGCCAUCGUGGUCCCGUUCUCUUCUUGGGUGGUGCGGUUGGAACUUUCUGGAAAUAGCGGCGGACUGUAGUGGCUUUCCAGAGAAAGGUAGGCAGAAGAAAGCUGAGCGCGGGCUUUGUUUCUUUACGCAAACCGAACAGCAACCGAGACAUCUUCGUCCCUGGAGCUGCUUGUUCAAGUCUCUUCCUUCUUCAGGGAAAGCCUUUCAGGCGACAGUGGCGCAGUGAGUUUUCACAAACAUCGACCACGCAUGCGCGGCUGGGCUAAGGGCCUCCACUGCAUCUUAAUAAAUCACGAAGGUGGGGGCUGGCAGCGGGGCGCGCUUCUUUGCCCGGUUAUAGGACCGGAAUCUCCCUCGGGACUGGCGCGUGGAAAACGUGACAGCGGCUUGUGUAGAGCCAGCUCGGCGGAGGUGCACGUUGCUCGAGCGUGGCGCUCUCGCUUGAGCCUGCGCAGGCCUUGCCACCGGUGUGACCACCUUGCUCGCGGACUGUUCUCCCAGGAGCAGUAUCGGGAAGGAGGCGCUUCGCGCUUUAAACACACAGGCACAAACACACACCGGCAAAAGUGGAUGCUUCUCGUUAUCCUUAAUAAGGUUAAACAACUGAGCGACUGGGUAAACAAACUUCUGUAAAAUGACUGCCCCUGGAAGUUCCACAUGGCAAACUGGCUGGAGAAAAUGUUUAAAUCAAUACGACAAUAAUGAAUCUCUCAAAUCACCCCCAGUGCCUUACAACUUGGACCGAUAUGGCAGCUUUGCAACAAACAUUUUCCUAUUUUGCGCCACUAAUAUGCUACCCAAGGAAACUGGAUGAAGGUGGUGGCAUAGACAGAUUUAAUUUGUUUCCUAAAGUGUCAAAGCUGUAGAUUCUGGUUCAACAGCACCAAGUUAAAGGCCUACACAGAAAGAUUGUAUGAAGCUAGCACAGCUGAGAAGAACCCAAGCAAGCAAACAACCAAAGCCAUCACGUUUUUAUGUGAGAAGGACUGCUCAUCUGCUUUGAGGCAAGCAAUGACCAUGAACCAAAUGACAGAUUAAGCAAAUGUGCCAUGUCCCUUAGUUAUGGUAGUCUAUCAAAAUUCAGUGAAGAGAUGUGGUACAGGUGCUCAACAGUGGUGGCACCAAAAGACAUAAUUGAGGGGGGCACAGAAGGGGCAAAGUGCGUUUCCAGGUGGGCAAGCUGUGUCCAACAUGGGGCAGGUGGGGGCAGCCUUUUGGGGAGCACCCUCCACCCCAGGAGCUACUGACUUUUCUGAGGGGGUGCUCCCCCCCCCCGAGCCACUCUUGGCACCGAAGUACAAUCUCAUCUGCCUGGUAGCUUGUAUAACAGAGAGCAAGCACAUUUGGGGUGUCGUAUGAGAUGGAAAAUGUGAAAGGAAAGUGUGGCAGAGAAGCAUAUCCAUCCACCUCUUCUGAAUGUCUGUCUCACAUAAUUGAGACAGAAAUCAGCAAAAGUAGUGCCAUAGUCAUUCAUAUUCAGAUUUACAGAUCUAGCUAAGAUAUCGGAAAUGAUUGGAGCAGCUAGGUGUAGGAACCACAUGUAAAUUUAACAAGGUUGCAAAAUUGAGUUCCCUCACGUCUCUGCUUGAAACUUGGAGAACAGACAGGAUAUAGGCUUGGCUCCAUCACAUGCUUCUGAAUCAAGUGAAGUUAUUUACCUAGCCAGAACAGUUGAAAUUUUACACAGAAAGCUGACUGAAUAAAAGUCAAACUUGGGUGGUACAUUUCACAAGAGAUGUGUUGAAGAGUGAAUUCCACCAGCACUACUUCAUUUCAUUUGCAUGACCUAAAAUGGUGCAGACAAAGUCACAGUUUAGACAGGGCAAAUCAAAAGUUUCUGUAGACAUUUACAGUUACUGAGUGCAACUGCUUUGCUGAAGCGGCAGCUCACAGGCACUCCAAAUACUAGGAGACUCAGUUUGCGGUCUAUAUGGGAUUCUGUAUUUGCAAAGUCUAGAAAAAGACAUCUAGCACAAGUGCUUCACAACAAUGGAAUAGGUGUUUCGUGUGACAGAUUUGUAGAGUAUCUGUACACCUCAAUAAGCUGCAGUAAUGAUGUUUGGCUGCUCUCUUACCAGAGCAGAGACACCACUGCUCAGAAAAAUGACAAACACCCAACUCUUACCCUGGAGGCAGGGCCCGGGGAUGAUUGAUGGCUCCCCUUAUCAUAUUUGCCCAUCAGCAUGAUUUUCAGGUCUAUCAUUGACUACUAGUCUGAGGGCUAUAGGUCUCCUCCAGCCUCAGAGGCAAGAUGCCUCUACCUACCAGUUGAGGGGAGUAGUGGUAGAGAAGGCAUGCUCUCAGCUCUUGACUGUGUUCCCCAGAGGCAUCUGGUGGACCAUUGUGUGAAACAGGAUACUUGACUAGAUGCCUUGGGCCUGAUCCCAAGGCAUUUUCUUAUGCAUAAUGUAGAGGUUAGAGUGUUGGACUAGGACUGGAAAGACCUGAGUUUGAAUCCCCAUUCAACCAUGAAGCUCAUUGGGUGACUCUGGGUCCUGUAUCUUUCAGCCUAACCUACCUCACAGAGUUGUUAUGGAAAUAAAAAUAACCAUGUACACUGCUCUGAGCUCCUCGGAUGAAAAGUGAGAUACAAGUGUAAAAAUAAAUAAAAUUAAGUAUGUGGAAGAACUAUUUAUUGGUCAGUUUUGAGAGUGAUUAUUCACAACAUUGACUAUGGAUAACAGAUUAUAACAACAUAGGAACAUAGGAAACUGCCAUAUACUGAGUCAGACCAUUGGUCUGUCUAGCUCAGUGGCCCACCAGAUAAUCCUAGAGUAAGUUCCUCUUUUCAUAGUACUAUUAUUUUAAUCUCCCAGCAUCAAAGCUCAGACAGUAGAGGUUCGAUCCAUGAUAUUUAAGAAGAGAAAAGUAAAAGUGGUUGAAGAACAGAACCUGGGCUGAUUCAAGCAAUAAUCCAGGACAAAGAAACACUCUUAAGAUUGUUGUCUACAAUGGCUGAAAAUCUAAGACAGGUGUUCUCACUUCAAUGCCCUAAAAUCAAUGGUUCCCAAACUAUGGGUUGCCCCUCACCCCUGGGGUGGUCACUAUUGACCUUUCCACCCCACACCCUGGAGAUUCUGACCCACCGUUUGAGGGAACCCCUGCCUCAAAAUGAAUUGAAUAAUGCCAGAGUUAAGUAAAAUUUGUUUUAUUCAGAAGUCUGUAAGCACUGUUUAUGUGCUACCAUUUAAAGAGUGUUAUAUGAAACUAAUUCAGCUAUAUUCUGCAUUUGAGGCUUACUCAAAUCUUUCCUGGCCCCAUUACAAUUCUUAUUCAGCAAUAAUUUAAAGGCAUUUCCAUGUGUUUCGACAAUAAGGUUUUAGACGUCCCUCCAAUACUUUUGAACUAUCAGUUAACAUUCAUACAUAUUUAUGUUCAAAAUUGAAUACUCAUUUUGAGCUGUCAACAGUUUUGGAUGUUAUUUUCUCAAGUGAUUUCUUAUAGUCUAUACAGUCUUAAAGGUCAGACCGAACUCCAAAUCCAGGCCCCUUGGGUGGUUCUGUCAGAGAAGUCAGACCACCAGCUGGUUCACAUGAGAAGCGCCCACUCCUGAAAAAGAAGAGUGCAAUUAACUGUUAAGCAUUACUCAGUAUUGCACCAGUCUUCAAGGAUGAACAGAAGUGUCAUCCUUGCAUUUUUUCCAACUGUUCUAGAAGGUCAGUAGUAAAUUGGACUUUGUGAAAAUAUGAACCAAGUGAUAAUAGGUCAAACUUCUGCUGUCUAUGGCUGCAAUCCUUUGCACUUGGACUUUGGAAGUAGAUCCACUGACAUCAGUGGGACUUACUUUGGAGUAAAUGUACCUAGGCUCAGAUCUACUACAGCUAGACAGGGUAGACUUAGUUACUUAACUGGUUUAACUUGGAUGUUCCAAAAAUAUAUAGUCAAGCUACUGCAGAUCAUUCCUUCUGCUAAGCUACCAUAGAACCAUACCAAGUUACAAGAGAAACUGGUUGGAGAAAGUAUUGCUUCUCAAAAAUUAAAUAAUACUUCAAUUUCAAAGGAGUCGCACACCUGGUUAUUGCUGUCAGACUAUUGAGUCAAAUCAGUGACUCUAAGGUGCCACCAGUAGUAUCCCCACUGGCUGACAUUUAGACUCAUAAGUAGUCCCACUGAAGUUAAUGAGGGAAGUUAUACACCGCCUAGAGAUUUCUAUAUUAGAUGGUAUAUAAAUUCAACAACCACCAACAACUAGCCUGUCCCAUUAACUUCGAUGGGACUACUCAGGGUAACAGUCUAAGGCCAAGUGUGUGCCAGUGCCGCGCAGGGGCAGAGGGAGAGCGCUGCUGCCGCUCACUGAUAGCUGAGGGGAGCACCGUGUGUACGGCAAUGGCGGCAAGCAGAGGAGGAACAGGGAUGGACCUACUCUCUCUGUUAGUUUUAAGGGGACUGUGCAGCAAUUCAGACACUGAAUUGCAUUACGAGCACAUCCCUAGAAAUGAGGCUCUGACUGAUACUUGCACCAUAUCUGCAGGCAAAUUAUGGUCACCAACUCACUGAUUGUUGUAGGAUCAACUACCCCCAGUACAGGUAGAUUGUAUUGUGCAAAUAAAUUACCUUGGACCAGGUUUUGGAACUUUCCCAGCUUUUAGUUCAUCAAUUAUGUCUUCAAUAUCUUUUGUUGUCAGAUCUUCCUGAAAUGGGAAAUACAAUAUUACCCAAAUAAAUCGUUUUAGCUAUUGACUGUUCUUCACAUAAUUUUUUUUUAAAAACUAGCAGUGUAAGAUUAAGAGCUUGUCUAUAGUACUGUCUUGUUAUAUCUUAAGUACUAAACUGAAGUUUAUUUCACUUGCAACCAUCUUAUAGUAUUUACACCAACCCCUGAACAUCUGUAGGCACCAUUAAAAUUAUAGCUUUGAAGAGAGGCAGGUUCCUUCACUAUUCAACAAGAGUCCUAAUAAAUCUCAUUAUGUGAUUA